CGCAGAGGACGGCGGGUGCUCCCCGCCGUAAUGCGGCACCGCCGGUUCCAAGCCCGG
rnacentral:ribozyme from 2 species